ACGCCUUUCGGCCCAUUAAGCAAUGAUCAUGUGUAGUAUCUGUUCUUAUCAGUUUAAUAUCUGAUACGUCCUAUCUGGGGGACCAUAGCAUAAAUUGAUUUUGGAACAGGGUAUGAAACAGGCUUGCUCACCACUCCACGCGAUCGCACUCGGUAUUGCAGUACUUCCAGGAGCCGUGUGCACUUUCC